CCUACGGGAGGCAGCAGUGAGGAAUAUUGGUCAAUGGGCGCGAGCCUGAACCAGCCAAGUAGCGUGAAGGAUGACUGCCCUACGGGUUGUAAACUUCUUUUAUAAAGGAAUAAAGUGAGGCACGUGUGCCUUUUUGUAUGUACUUUAUGAAUAAGGAUCCGCUAACUCCGUGCCAGCAGCCGCGGUAAUACGGAGGAUCCGAGCGUUAUCCGGAUUUAUUGGGUUUAAAGGGAGCGUAGAUGGGCAUUUAAGCGGGCGGUCAAAUGUCGGGGCUCAACCCCGGCCUGGCGGCGGAACUGGGUGCCUUGGGUGGGCGAGAAGUAUGCGGAAUGCGGGGUGUAGCGGUGAAAUGCAUAGAUAUCACGCAGAACUCCGAUUGCGAAGGCAGCAUACCGGCGCCCAACUGACGCUGAAGCACGAAAGCGUGGGUUUCGAACAGGAUUAGAUACCCCAGUAGU
rnacentral:rRNA from 1 species